CCUACGGGAGGCAGCAGUGGGGAAUAUUGGACAAUGGGCGAAAGCCUGAUCCAGCAAUGCCGCGUGAGUGAUGAAGGCCUUAGGGUCGUAAAGCUCUUUUACCCGGGAUGAUAAUGACAGUACCGGGAGAAUAAGCCCCGGCUAACUCCGUGCCAGCAGCCGCGGUAAUACGGAGGGGGCUAGCGUUGUUCGGAAUUACUGGGCGUAAAGCGUGCGUAGGCGGUUAUUCAAGUCAGAGGUGAAAGCCCGGGGCUCAACCCCGGAACGGCCUUUGAAACUAGGUAGCUAGAAUCUUGGAGGGGUCAGUGGAAUUCCGAGUGUAGAGGCGAAAUUCGUAGAUAUUCGGAAGAACACCAGUGGCGAAGGCGACUGACUGGACAAGUAUUGACGCUGAGGCACGAAAGCGUGGGGAGCAAACAGGAUUAGAUACCCUGGUAGUCCACGCCGUAAACGAUGAUAACUAGCUGUUCGGGUACUUGGUAUCUGAGUGGCGCAGCUAACGCAUUAAGUUAUCCGCCUGGGGAGUACGGUCGCAAGAUUAAAACUUAAAGGAAUUGACGG
rnacentral:rRNA from 1 species